rnacentral:rRNA from 1 species
GAUGAACGCUGGCGGCGUGCCUAAUACAUGCAAGUCGAGCGAACGGACGAGAAGCUUGCUUCUCUGAUGUUAGCGGCGGACGGGCGAGUAACACGUGGAUAACCUACCUAUAAGACUGGGAUAACUUCGGGAAACCGGAGCUAAUACCGGAUAAUAUUUUGAACCGCAUGGUUCAAAAGUGAAAGACGGUCUUGCUGUCACUUAUAGAUGGAUCCGCGCUGCAUUAGCUAGUUGGUAAGGUAACGGCUUACCAAGGCAACGAUGCAUAGCCGACCUGAGAGGGUGAUCGGCCACACUGGAACUGAGACACGGUCCAGACUCCUACGGGAGGCAGCAGUAGGGAAUCUUCCGCAAUGGGCGAAAGCCUGACGGAGCAACGCCGCGUGAGUGAUGAAGGUCUUCGGAUCGUAAAACUCUGUUAUUAGGGAAGAACAUAUGUGUAAGCAACUGUGCACAUCUUGACGGUACCUAAUCAGAAAGCCACGGCUAACUACGUG